CAAGUCGAACGGUAACAGGAAGAAGCUUGCUUCUUUGCUGACGAGUGGCGGACGGGUGAGUAAUGUCUGGGAAACUGCCUGAUGGAGGGGGAUAACUACUGGAAACGGUAGCUAAUACCGCAUAACGUCGCAAGACCAAAGAGGGGGACCUUCGGGCCUCUUGCCAUCGGAUGUGCCCAGAUGGGAUUAGCUAGUAGGUGGGGUAACGGCUCACCUAGGCGACGAUCCCUAGCUGGUCUGAGAGGAUGACCAGCCACACUGGAACUGAGACACGGUCCAGACUCCUACGGGAGGCAGCAGUGGGGAAUAUUGCACAAUGGGCGCAAGCCUGAUGCAGCCAUGCCGCGUGUAUGAAGAAGGCCUUCGGGUUGUAAAGUACUUUCAGCGGGGAGGAAGGGAGUAAAGUUAAUACCUUUGCUCAUUGACGUUACCCGCAGAAGAAGCACCGGCUAACUCCGUGCCAGCAGCCGCGGUAAUACGGAGGGUGCAAGCGUUAAUCGGAAUUACUGGGCGUAAAGCGCACGCAGGCGGUUUGUUAAGUCAGAUGUGAAAUCCCCGGGCUCAACCUGGGAACUGCAUCUGAUACUGGCAAGCUUGAGUCUCGUAGAGGGGGGUAGAAUUCCAGGUGUAGCGGUGAAAUGCGUAGAGAUCUGGAGGAAUACCGGUGGCGAAGGCGGCCCCCUGGACGAAGACUGACGCUCAGGUGCGAAAGCGUGGGGAG
rnacentral:rRNA from 1 species